UUUAUAUCUAAAAUAAAUAGCUUAAAUGUUUACAACAUAACGUGUUUCCCUAAAGGAAAUUAGAUAAAGACUGCACACAUGCAGGUUGUGUAACAGUCCCACACACUUAGAUACACAAAGAGUAUGCUUGUCUUCCUUGGGAAAAAGCAACACCUGUUUUUCUGAGUGAAGCAUCAUUUUUUUUCUUCUCCCUUUUUUCUCCACAGAAGCCCUGGUUCUUCUAACAGGUCCUGUGUGGCUUGGCUGUGGGUUAGCCUGGACUACUGAAACAUCCUUUCGCUCCCAAAUCACACUAAACCUUUCUCCUGUUUAACAAAUUGCUUGAACCACACAAUACCUCGUCUGGGGAAAGCUUGAUCAAGCUUUGAAGUCUGCAGUGGCUGCCUGUCAGAAGCUGAAGGAGCUGUGAUUGAGAGCCAACGGCCUGAAGAUUGAGAGAUCCAAAAUUUCCAUGAUGGAUGAAGAUGUCAUACCGCUAAGAGGAAACCUCACCCACGAGAAGCUCACCUGGUUGCAGUCCAUCAUCCGCUCGCCUCACCAUGCUUCGUCUCUGACUCCAUCUUGGAAAUCACGGUUACUGCCGUCAAGACCCUCCAGCCUCCUCCUCUGGUCGUCCAAGUAUCCUGGGAUUAUCCAUUGUUCAUAAAUGCCUUCCCAACUGUGAAAAGUAUUAAAACUUUUCCCAUCGAA